rnacentral:lncRNA from 1 species
AUUUUUGCAUAUUAUGUACAUACACACGCAGGGUAGAGGCAUACAUCGACCCAUGCAUGCAUGAGAGGGUGUGUAUAUAUAGAAAGGGAGAGGUAGAUUGACAGUCUCCUGGAAAAGAUCUUUGACUUUAUUUGUGGAAAUAAGAAAGUGGAACUUCUACUAAGGAAAAGUCUUAAGGUUAUAGAAUGUCAUUGCCUUCUAAAUUGAAUAAGUUAUUCUAGCAGCUGCAGUGAUCAUCACUGACAGUCACCUGUUUAAGGUUAACAAUGGUACUUGUUAUUUGUAGGUACAGACAUUACAUAAUGUCACUGGCAGUGGAGGUGGACAAGUUUGGAAUCGGAACUCUUGGAAUCAGUACUUCUUUACAUAUGGACACAACUGAAUUGCAGAUGUCAACCCACCAUUUUAUAGAAUGACAAAGGAAUUGAUUUUGAAUUCUAAUUAGGUAUCCACAUAUCUGUUGAAUGGCUAAUACUGUUGACUUAAAAAAUAUGCACUACCUAAAAGUUGAGAGCUAAGUUUUAUUUGGGGCAAAAUGAGGACCAUAGCCUGGAGGCAGCAUCUUGGAGAGCUCUGAGAAACCGCUCCAAAGGAGUAGGAAAAAAUCCACAUAUAUGUGAUUUUGGCUAAGGGGGAUUGUAUAAUAUGACCAAACUCACAUUUUACAGAAGGUCACUGCUGGUCAUGAGAAGCAGAUGUCAUCAUGAAGGAUUUUAGUGCUUUUAUAGAUGUGAGGAGAUGGAAGUUUUUGGUUCAUAACAUCUCCUGAAAAUAUCCAACUCUCUGAAGACCUGUUCUGCCAGUUUUCCCAGAGCACGGGGCUCCUCACUCCUGAUCUCCACCCUGAGCUCUUUUGCAGGUGUAGAGGGUCAACAGCUGCAGUGGCACAGGAUUCAGUCUCUGUAGAAGCAGAUGGCCAGUGUCAACCUCCAGUUCACGGUACAGAAUGACAAGCAUAUUAAAUCCUGAUGAGGAGCAGUCUCAAACUUCUUCCCUCUCCAACACACCUGAAAAACAGAAUAUCUUUUCCUUCCACAAAAUGAUUCAACUUAGUCAGAAAAUACAUUAAACAAAUACUUAUUAAAUGC